AGUGAACGCUGGCGGCAGGCCUAACACAUGCCAGUCGAGCGGCAGCGCGGGGGCAACCCUGGCGGCGAGCGGCGGACGGGUGAGGAAUUCGUCGGAAUCUGCCUGGUUGUGGGGGAUAACGUAGGGAAACUUACGCUAAUACCGCAUACGUCCUACGGGAGAAAGUGGGGGACCGCAAGGCCUCACGCAGAAAGAUGAGCCGACGACCGAUUAGCUAGUUGGUGGGGUAAAGGCCCACCAAGGCGACGAUCCGUAGCUGGUCUGAGAGGAUGAUCAGCCACACUGGAACUGAGACACGGCCCAGACUCCUACGGGAGGCAGCAGUGGGGAAUAUUGGACAAUGGGCGCAAGCCUGAUCCAGCCAUGCCGCGUGUGUGAAGAAGGCCUUCGGGUUGUAAAGCACUUUUGUCCGGAAAGAAAUCCAUGAAGCUAAUACCUUCCGGGGAUGACGGUACCGAAAGAAUAAGCACCGGCUAACUUCGUG
rnacentral:rRNA from 1 species